UGGCAGUGUAAUGUUAGCUGACGUUUCUUCAGCCAGCUCACACUGCUCUGCUACU
ensembl:miRNA